GUACACUCCUACGGGAGGCAGCAGUGGGGAAUAUUGGACAAUGGGCGCAAGCCUGAUCCAGCCAUGCCGCGUGAGUGAUGAAGGCCCUAGGGUUGUAAAGCUCUUUCACCGGUGAAGAUAAUGACGGUAACCGGAGAAGAAGCCCCGGCUAACUUCGUGCCAGCAGCCGCGGUAAUACGAAGGGGGCUAGCGUUGUUCGGAUUUACUGGGCGUAAAGCGCACGUAGGCGGACUAUUAAGUCAGGGGUGAAAUCCCGGGGCUCAACCCCGGAACUGCCUUUGAUACUGGUAGUCUUGAGUUCGAGAGAGGUGAGUGGAAUUCCGAGUGUAGAGGUGAAAUUCGUAGAUAUUCGGAGGAACACCAGUGGCGAAGGCGGCUCACUGGCUCGAUACUGACGCUGAGGUGCGAAAGCGUGGGGAGCAAACAGGAUUAGAAACCCGUGUAGUCCCAUG
rnacentral:rRNA from 1 species